UUAAGCUUAUAAUGUUUCUCAAUAUGAACAUGAAGUUACAAAUCGUUAUUGUUUCACUAAUGGGUUUCAUUACCGCGACAAUCUCUCAGGAUUGUUCGUGGACUGGAUGUGAAGGAUUGAUGAUAAAUGAUCAACAAAUUUGCGACCUAUAUGGAAAGGGAAUUUUCGCUCGACAAACAUAUAGAGAAGGCUGUUCUUGGGACACAUCAAUGAGAUUAUGUUGCCGACAGACUCAAGCUUGCUUGUGGACUGCUGUUUGUUAUGGCACAGCUUAUGGUCCGGGCUACGCAUGUAAUAAAGAGUAUGCCAAUCAUUAUCGGGCCACCGGAAAUCAGAGGAAUUGUGGUGGUGGUGCGUUUUCCUUCGAAUGCUGUCAAUAAUGUGCAUUCGACAUUAUUAAGAGCGACAUAGAAUUAAAGUGAGAGAUUUUCUUGCUGGACCUACCGCUUUCGACAUUGAAUUAAAGAUAUUGAACAGCAA